rnacentral:rRNA from 1 species
GAUCCUGGCUCCGGACGAACGCUGGCGGCGUGCCUAACACAUGCAAGUCGAACGGAGAAUUUUAUUUCGGUAGAAUUCUUAGUGGCGAACGGGUGAGUAACGCGUAUCCAACCUGCCCACCACUUGGGGAUAACCUUGCGAAAGUAAGACUAAUACCCAAUGAUAUCUCUAGAAGACAUCUGAAAGAGAUUAAAGAUUUAUCGGUGAUGGAUGGGGAUGCGUCUGAUUAGCUUGUUGGCGGGGUAACGGCCCACCAAGG